rnacentral:lncRNA from 1 species
CCAUGGGCUCCUGAACCGAAGCGAGAAGCUUUGUAGUGCGCUAGCGCCCUUCCGUUUUGAAGCAGGGUCGGAUCCACUUCUUCCGGGUAAACUAUUAGUGCUUAGAUGGCUCUGGACGGACUAGAUCUUUUACUAGAACGACUCCCGUGGGGUAUGGAUAUUCGACUGAAGCUACUGGUCCCAGAGACAUUUGUUGGUGUGCUUCGACGCUCCCCUCAACAACCUAUCUAGUUAACGGUCCCGUUCUCUACAAUCAUAAGCCCCAUCCCUAGAACAAAAU